rnacentral:rRNA from 1 species
UACGAAGGGGGCUAGCGUUGUUCGGAAUCACUGGGCGUAAAGCGCACGUAGGCGGAUCUUUAAGUCAGGGGUGAAAUCCUGGAGCUCAACUCCAGAACUGCCUUUGAUACUGAGGAUCUUGAGUUCGGGAGAGGCGAGUGGAACUGCGAGUGUAGAGGUGAAAUUCGUAGAUAUUCGCAAGAACACCAGUGGCGAAGGCGGCUCACUGGCCCGAUACUGACGCUGAGGCACGAAAGCGUGGGGAGCAAACAGG